UACGGAGGGUGCAAGCGUUGUUCGGAUUUAUUGGGCGUAAAGCGCACGUAGGCCGGUCUGCUAAGUCGGUUGUGAAAGCCCCCGGCGUCAACCGGGGAAUUGCGUUCGAUACUGGCAGGCUAGAGGACGGUUGGGGUGAGUGGAACUCCAGGUGGAGCGGUGAAAUGCGUAGAUAUCUGGAGGAACACCGGUGGCGAAAGCGGCUCACGUGGACCGUAACUGAACGCUAAUGUGCGAAAGCUAGGGGGAGCAAACGGGG
rnacentral:rRNA from 1 species